UGGUUUAAUUCGAUGCAACGCGAAGAACCUUACCUGGUCUUGACAUCCACGGAAGUUUUCAGAGAUGAGAAUGUGCCUUCGGGAACCGUGAGACAGGUGCUGCAUGGCUGUCGUCAGCUCGUGUUGUGAAAUGUUGGGUUAAGUCCCGCAACGAGCGCAACCCUUAUCCUUUGUUGCCAGCGGUCCGGCCGGGAACUCAAAGGAGACUGCCAGUGAUAAACUGGAGGAAGGUGGGGAUGACGUCAAGUCAUCAUGGCCCUUACGACCAGGGCUACACACGUGCUACAAUGGCGCAUACAAAGAGAAGCGACCUCGCGAGAGCAAGCGGACCUCAUAAAGUGCGUCGUAGUCCGGAUUGGAGUCUGCAACUCGACUCCAUGAAGUCGGAAUCGCUAGUAAUCGUGGAUCAGAAUGCCACGGUGAAUACGUUCCCGGGCCUUGUACACACCGCCCGUCACACCAUGGGAGUGGGUUGCAAAAGAAGUAGGUAGCUUAACCUUCGGGAGGGCGCUUACCACUUUGUGAUUCAUGACUGGGGUGAAGUCGUAACAAGGUAACCGUAGGGGAACCUGCGGUUGGAUC
rnacentral:rRNA from 1 species